rnacentral:rRNA from 1 species
UUCGCCCUUGAGUUUGAUCAUGGCUCAGGACGAACGCUGGCGGCGUGCCUAACACCUGUAAGUCGAGCGAGAUGAUCCCUUCGGGGAGAUUCUAGCCUUGGAAGGGUGAGUAACACGUGGGUAACCUGCCUCAAAGAGGGGGAUAGCCUCCCGAAAGGGAGAUUAAUACCCCAUAACAUUAUUUCUUCGCAUGAAGAGAUAAUCAAAGGAGUAAUUCGCUUUGAGAUGGACCCGCGGCGCAUUAGCUAGUUGGUGAGGUAAUGGCUCACCAAGGCAACGAUGCGUAGCCGACCUGAGAGGGUGAUCGGCCACAUUGUUUUUUAGAUACGGUCCAGACUCCUACGGGAGGCAGCAGUGGGGAAUAUUGCGCAAUGGGGGAAACCCUGACGCAUUUUUUUUUU